rnacentral:misc_RNA from 1 species
GAUGAAGAACGCAGCGAAAUGUGAUACGUAAUGUGAAUUGCAGAAUUCAGUGAAUCAUCGAGUCUUUGAACGCACAUUGCGCCCCCUGGUAUUCCGGGGGGCAUGCCUGUCCGAGCGUCAUUGCUGCCCUCAAGCACGGCUUGUGUUUUGGGCCUCCGUCCUCCUCCCGGGGGACGGGCCCGAAAGGCAGCGGCGGCACCGCGUCCGGUCCUCGAGCGUAUGGGGCUUCGUCACCCGCUCUUGUAGGCCCGGCCGGCGCUUGCCGACACAUCAAUCUUUUUUCCAGGUUGACCUCGGAUCAGGUAGGGAUACCCGCUGAACUUAAGCAUAUCAAUAAGCGGAGGA